rnacentral:rRNA from 1 species
UACGUAGGGGGCAAGCGUUGUCCGGAUUUAUUGGGCGUAAAGAGCGUGUAGGCGGCCAGACAGGUCAGCUGUGAAACUCGAGGCUCAACCUCGAGACGUCGGUUGAAACCGUCUGGCUAGAGUCCGGAAGAGGAGAGUGGAAUUCCCGGUGUAGCGUGAAAUGCGCAGACUAUCGGGAAGAACACCCGUGGCGAAGGCGGCUCUCUGGGACGGUACUGGACGGCUGAGACGCGGAAAGCGUGGGGAGCGAAC